rnacentral:pre_miRNA from 1 species
GGCGAGUUCGGUUUUAGUUGUAUUUUAAAUUUAGUCGGUAUGACUAGAACCCACACUCGUCCGG